GGGAUGUUGUGGCGGCGGAGGAGUGUCGGAAGGUAUCCGGAGGUUAGGCGCCGCGUCUCUCUAAGGUGGUACCGUGUGGGCCCAUCAGCCCACCUCUCGGUUGCGUUCUCUUCUGUGGUGUAUCAGCACUGUUUACGAGGGAUGCGUGAUUUGAGAAUCUCCAUUUGGUCUUUGAGCCUGUCUGUUCUGUGACCCCUGGGAUAGCUUGGCUUGCAGUGUACUUGGAGGCCAUCAUUGCAUCAAGGGAUAUAUUUUCAGAUGCCUAAGGCCAUAUACUGAAUAUGCUGGUGUGAACAUCUCUGAUGGGAAGGACAAUGUAAAUGAGAAUGGGUAAGACAAAGGGGAAAGAAUAAUGAAAUAAAAUGAGAGGGACAUUUCAUUGGCUUUUAAUGAUAGUGGAAGAUGAAAUCUGUGUAUUUGAGACCCAUUUGACUCCUGGAUAAUUAGCAUGGUUGUCCUAAUUUGGAGGAGGA